rnacentral:misc_RNA from 1 species
CCAAAAACCACUUGCCUUUUUAUAAUAAUAACAAAAAUAAUAAUUAUAAAAAAAUAUUAAAUAAAUAGUGAGCAACAAUGGGUGCCAACUCCAUCUCCCACUAUCUGCAUGAUUGAUUCAGAAUAUAAUAGUACAUUAUUUUCUAAAAGCAAGUAUAACGAGGAAAAAGCAUUGUAAUAGCCAUGAAUUUGCGUCAUUACCCUUGAAAGAGAAUUAAAUGGUUUAAUUUUCCAUUUGUUGCAUAAUUGAUCUCAGGUACAAAUUUCCUUAGUAGAGUGUUUUAAGUCUUCUUCAUAUAAGAAUGAAAAGAAAAGCUAAUGGAAGAACUGAUUUCUUCCUUAUCUAACCCACUUGAAGAGACCUCAUCAGUGACUCCACUAGAACAUGGUGAAGAAGGUUGAGGAGGGCCCAUAUCAGAGUUUUCUUCCAUUCUAAAUUCCAUGAAACUUGAUCUCAUCACAUCAUGUGUAGUUUGAAUAGUGUUGGUGUUUGAGGGCUGAGAAAUGAUAUUCCCGUGUUUUCUAGGUCUCCUUUUCCUCUGAAAUACUCGGUAGACAACCCAAUCUCCUAAUUUCAUCUUAGCUAUCUGAACAAAAAAUUUUCAAGAACAAAUCCAUUCAUUAGAACUAGAAAUAAAAUGGGUAUUACUCAUAAUAUCACACGAACUUCAAUAUGGAUAAUUGCUGAUCAUCUGAACUGUUUAAUCUUAUAUUAUACCUGGGUUAUGUUAGGGAUUGUUCCUGAGCCUACAAGGCGAUAUUCAUGCAUGAUCCAUUGAGUUUUAGAGUCGUUAGAAUGCUUCCCCUCGCAGAAAAUCAGAGUUUUCCUCGUUCCAAUUACGUGGUUGCUCAAAGAAGCAACAAUUUGUCUGUCUUUGCCAAUAGGCUUCCAGUAACCAGAAGCAGCAGCUCUCUUGCAUCUGUUUUCACUGUCAUUUCCCCAUUUUCUGCCAAAGAAGUACCUCUUUUCCUUCAAAUCACCUGUCAAGCUCCAAGGAUCAUGUUGGAAUACAUCAAGCUCAGGAAU